UGGGGAAUUUUGGACAAUGGGCGAAAGCCUGAUCCAGCAAUGCCGCGUGUGUGAAGAAGGCCUUCGGGUUGUAAAGCACUUUUGUCCGGAAAGAAAUCCUUGGCUCUAAUACAGUCGGGGGAUGACGGUACCGGAAGAAUAAGCACCGGCUAACUACGUGCCAGCAGCCGCGGUAAUACGUAGGGUGCAAGCGUUAAUCGGAAUUACUGGGCGUAAAGCGUGCGCAGGCGGUUUGCUAAGACCGAUGUGAAAUCCCCGGGCUCAACCUGGGAACUGCAUUGGUGACUGGCAGGCUAGAGUAUGGCAGAGGGGGGUAGAAUUCCACGUGUAGCAGUGAAAUGCGUAGAGAUGUGGAGGAAUACCGAUGGCGAAGGCAGCCCCCUGGGCCAAUACUGACGCUCAUGCACGAAAGCGUGGGGAGCAAACAGGAUUAGAUACCCUGGUAGUCCACGCCCUAAACGAUGUCAACUAGUUGUUGGGGACUCAUUUCCUUAGUAACGUAGCUAACGCGUGAAGUUGACCGCCUGGGGAGUACGGUCGCAAGAUUAAAACUCAAAUGGAAUUGACGGGGUCAUAGCUG
rnacentral:rRNA from 1 species